CUGCUCCCUACUGGGGAACUGUGUGUCUGAGGUCGUGGCCAUCUGUCCAAAGAGCUUCUUCUGACCAAAGUGCUCAUUUUCAUAGUGUGACCACAGAGUACACCCGUGGGAAGAGGAGUCGGGGCAUCCCUUGCUGGAAAUACCCCAGCCCUGAAGGUUGCUGGCAAAACCACCAUUUAAUUCAGAACAAAAAGUCUGCUCCAGGAGCCCCUGAGAGCGUCAAAAAGAACAAGGUGGGUGGGUUGGGGGGAAACAUCACUGAGAGGCUACCUAGGCCUGGAUCCCCGGCAGAUGCAGGUCCACAACCCGACGCCGACCACUGGCCGGCCCUCCCGAGUGUCUGACUGCGGGACUACCUGGCAUCCACUCGAAGAGACCAGCCUGGGGCAUCCCUCCCUGCGCCCCAACCCCUGUGGACACUCCCUCGGGAGCAUUUCUAACUAGGCCUGGGUAUGUGAAAAAAGAGGAAUCCUUUCGCAGAAGGCAGGCUGGACCUGGGAAAACAGUUCUCCAUGGAUGGAGAAGUGAGGGGAUAAAGGAUGAUGAACUUAGCUGUUUUCUUUCCUGUCCACAUUGUUUCUAGGUUCUUUGGAACCAGGGGUCAUCUUUUAUCUCCCACAGUAACUCAUGUCUGCCUUAGACUUAUUUCCAACCCCUCAAGAUCAGUUGAAGAUCUUUGUAGGAUCUACACAUUCAUACUUUACUUACUGACACCCCACAACCUGUAAACCAUAACAAAAUGCACCUGCUGCACACAUCUGAAAGGUUUUCUUUUUUUUUGUUUUGUUUUGUUUGAGACAGAAUCUUGCUCUAUUGCCCAGGCUGGAGUGCAAUGGCGUGAUCUCAGCUCACUGCAACCUCUGCCUCCCGGGUUCAAGUGAUUUUCCCCCCUCAGCCUCCCAAGUAGCUAGGAUUACAGGCAUGCACCACCAUGCCCAGCUAAUUUUUGUAUUUUUAGUAGAGACAGGGUUUCACCAUGUUGGCCGGGCUGGUGUCGAACUCCUGACCUCAGGUGAUCUGCCCGCCUUGGCCUCCCAAAGUGCUUGGAUUACAAGCGUGAGUACCAUGCCCAGCCAACAUUUUCUUUGCUAUAAAAUGUUUUAAAAUGUAUAACUGAGUUUUGCCAGCUGAAUAUAGUUCAAUUUGUUCUUGUGAUUCAAACUUUAUUAUGUUUUUAUAUAAAGCUAUAUCAAGAAUCCAAAAACAUUCUAUACAUUUGGAAGUUUAAAGACAAGCCUCUAAAUAGGUCACAAUCAAAGAGGAAAUCACAAUGUAAAUGGGAAAAUACCUAGAACUGAAGGACAAUGAAAACCCUACCUAGUUAAAUGCGUGGGAGGCAGGUAAGGUUGUACCUAAGAGAAAAUAUAUGGCCUUAAAUAAAUGCACAUAUAUAAUCAGGAAGAAAGACCAAAAAAUAAUGAGUUAAAGUUUCAACUCAACAAAUUAGAAAAGGACACCAGAGUAAAUCCAAAGAAAAUGAAAGAGAAUGAUAAAAAUAAUAGUAGAAAUUAAUUAGAAUGCACUCAGAGUAUCAACAAAACCAGAAGUUGGCUCUUUGAAAAUGAAGACAAAUAACUAAGACUAAUAACUAAGACAAAUAACUAAGAUAUUAUUUAUGAAAAAAAAGAAAAUUAUACAUUUUAUGAAUGGAAACAGAGGCACUACAGACAUGGUAGAGAUUAAAAAAUAAAAGGACAAGCCAAGCACACUGGCAUGUGCCUCUAAUCCCAGCUACUUGGGAGACUGAGACAGGAGGAUCACUUGAGACUAGGAGUUUGAGGCUGCAGUGAGCUGUGAUCAUGUCACUGCACUCCAGUGUGGGUGACAGAGGGCGACCCUGUCUCUGAAAAGUAAAUACACAGAGAUAAGAGAACACUUUGAAGCAGCUAUAUACCAAUGAAUUUGAAAAUUUAGAAGAAAACGACAAUUUCCUGGGAAAACACAACCUACCAAAAUCACUUUUGAGGACUGCAGUACACCUACAUUCAUUAUAUUGAAUCAGUAGUUUUACAUGCAGCCAAGAGACUCUACAAAACCUCUGUGAUUUUGCAAGAAAGUCCUAACAAAUAAAAAACAGAUAAUCCUUGUAUUGUUCCAGAGAAUAAAAAAUGAGAGAAAACUCCCUGUGCUAGUCUGUUUUCACACUGCUAUAAACAACCUCUCUGGCCGGGCGCGGUGGCUCACGCCUGUAAUCCUA
rnacentral:lncRNA from 1 species